rnacentral:rRNA from 1 species
ACACAGGAAUCGUACCCGAAACCGACACAGGUGGUCAGGUCGAGUAGACCAAGGCGCUUGAGAGAACUCUGCUGAAGGAACUAGGCAAAAUGGUACCGUAACUUCGGGAGAAGGUACGCUGUUGUUGGUGAUGGAACUCGCUUCCUGAGCUGACGACAGCCGCAGAAACCAGGCCGCUGCAACUGUUUAUUAAAAACAUAGCACUCUGCAAACACGAAAGUGGACGUAUAGGGUGUGAUGCCUGCCCGGUGCUGGAAGGUUAAUUGAUGGGGUUAGCGUAAGCGAAGCUCUUGAUCGAAGCCCCAGUAAACGGCGGCCGUAACUAUAACGGUCCUAAGGUAGCGAAAUUCCUUGUCGGGUAAGUUCCGACCUGCACGAAUGGCAUAAUGAUGGCGGCGCUGUCUCCAGCAGAGGCUCAGUGAAAUCGAAAUCGCUGUGAAGAUGCAGUGUACCCGCGGCUAGACGGAAAGACCCCGUGAACCUUUACUGCAGCUUGACACUGAACUUUGACCUUACUUGUGUAGGAUAGGUGGGAGGCUUUGAAGCUGGAACGCUAGUUCCAGUGGAGCCGUCCUUGAAAUACCACCCUGGUAAUGUUGAGGUUCUAACUCUGUCCCGUGAUCCGGGACGAGGACCGUGUCUGGUGGGUAGUUUGACUGGGGCGGUCUCCUCCUAAAGAGUAACGGAGGAGUACGAAGGUGCGCUCAGCGUGGUCGGAAAUCACGCGUAGAGUAUAAAGGCAAAAGCGCGCUUAACUGCGAGACCCACAAGUCGAGCAGGUACGAAAGUAGGUCUUAGUGAUCCGGUGGUUCUGUAUGGAAGGGCCAUCGCUCAACGGAUAAAAGGUACUCUGGGGAUAACAGGCUGAUACCGCCCAAGAGUUCAUAUCGACGGCGGUGUUUGGCACCUCGAUGUCGGCUCAUCUCAUCCUGGGGCUGAAGCAGGUCCCAAGGGUAUGGCUGUUCGCCAUUUAAAGAGGUACGCGAGCUGGGUUUAGAACGUCGUGAGACAGUUCGGUCCCUAUCUACCGUGGGCGCUGGAAAUUUGAGAGGAUCUGCUCCUAGUACGAGAGGACCAGAGUGGACGAACCUCUGGUGUACCGGUUGUGACGCCAGUCGCAUCGCCGGGUAGCUAUGUUCGGAAGGGAUAACCGCUGAAAGCAUCUAAGCGGGAAGCCUACCUCAAGAUAAGAUUUCCCUAGGACUUUAUGUCCUCUAAAGAGCCGUUCGAGACUAGGACGUUGAUAGGUUGGAUGUGGAAGCAUAGUGAUAUGUGAAGCUGACCAAUACUAAUUGCUCGUGAGGCUUGACUAU